AUGUGCUGUUGAUUUCCCAGAACCA
rnacentral:misc_RNA from 1 species